rnacentral:rRNA from 1 species
GACGAACGCUGGCGGCGUGCUUAACACAUGCAAGUCGAACGGAAAGGCCCUGCUUUUGUGGGGUGCUCGAGUGGCGAACGGGUGAGUAACACGUGAGUAACCUGCCCUUGACUUUGGGACAACUUCAGGAAACUGGGGCUAAUACCGGAUAGGAGCUCCUGCUGCAUGGUGGGGGUUGGAAAGUUUCGGCGGUUGGGGAUGGACUCGCGGCUUAUCAGCUUGUUGGUGGGGUAGUGGCUUACCAAGGCUUUGACGGGUAGCCGGCCUGAGAGGGUGACCGGCACAAUGGGGCUGGGAUUACGGCCCGGCUUCCAACGGGAGGCAGCGGGGGGGAAUAUUGAAAAAGGGGCGAAGGCUUAAGCAGGAACCGCGGCGGGGGGGAGGCGGGCUUCGGGGUGGAAAACGGCUUCGCCUUGUAACGAGGCUUGGGGGCGGUAAAUGGUUAAAGAGGAACGGGCUACUUACGU